UACGGAGGGUGCAAGCGUUAUCCGGAUUUACUGGGUUUAAAGGGUGUGUAGGCGGGCUAUUAAGUCAGUGGUGAAAUCUCCGGGCUCAACCCGGAAACUGCCAUUGAUACUAUUAGUCUUGAAUUUUGUUGAGGUAGGCGGAAUAAGUCAUGUAGCGGUGAAAUGCAUAGAUAUGACUUAGAACACCAAUUGCGAAGGCAGCUUGCUAAACAAAUAGUGACGCUGAGGCACGAAAGCCAGGGGAGCAAACGGG
rnacentral:rRNA from 1 species